GAUGAACGCUGGCGGCGUGCUUAACACAUGCAAGUCGAACGGAAAGGCCCAAGCUUGCUUGGGUACUCGAGUGGCGAACGGGUGAGUAACACGUGGGUGAUCUGCCCUGCACUUCGGGAUAAGCCUGGGAAACUGGGUCUAAUACCGGAUAGGACCACAUUUUGGAUGGUGUGGUGGAAAGUUUUUCGGUGUGGGAUGAGCUCGCGGCCUAUCAGCUUGUUGGUGGGGUAAUGGCCUACCAAGGCGUCGACGGGUAGCCGGCCUGAGAGGGUGUACGGCCACAUUGGGACUGAGAUACGGCCCAGACUCCUACGUGAGGCAGCAGUGGGGAAUAUUGCACAAUGGGCGCAAGCCUGAUGCAGCGACGCCGCGUGGGGGAUGACGGCCUUCGGGUUGUAAACUCCUUUCGCUAGGGACGAAGCGUUAUGUGACGGUACCUGGAGAAGAAGCACCGGCUAACUACGUG
rnacentral:rRNA from 1 species